UUCCGGUGAUCCUGCCGGACCUGACCGCUAUCGGAUUGAUACUAAGCCAUGCGAGUCAUUGUAGCAAUACAAGGCAGACGGCUCAGUAACGCGUAGUCAACCUAACCUAUGGACGGGAAUAACCUCGGGAAACUGAGAAUAAUGCCCGAUAGAACACUAUACCUGGAAUGGUUUGUGUUCCAAAUGAUUUAUCGCCGUAGGAUGGGACUGCGGCCUAUCAGUUUGUUGGUGAGGUAAUGGCCCACCAAGACUAUUACAGGUACGGGCUCUGAGAGGAGUAGCCCGGAGAUGGGUACUGAGACACGGACCCAGGCCCUAUGGGGCGCAGCAGGCGAGAAAACUUUGCAAUGUGCGAAAGCACGACAAGGUUAAUCCGAGUGAUUUGUGCUAAACGAAUCUUUUGUUAGUCCUAGAACCACUAACGAAUAAGGGGUGGGCAAGUUCUGGUGUCAGCCGCCGCGGUAAAACCAGCACCUCAAGUGGUCAGGAUGAUUAUUGGGCCUAAAGCAUCCGUAGCCGGCUCUGUAAGUUUUCGGUUAAAUCUGUACGCUUAACGUACAGGCUGCCGGGAAUACUGCAGAGCUAGGGAGUGGGAGAGGUAGACGGUACUCGGUAGGAAGGGGUAAAUCCUUUGAUCUAUUGAUGA
rnacentral:rRNA from 1 species